rnacentral:rRNA from 1 species
GACGAACGCUGGCGGCGUGCUUAACACAUGCAAGUCGAACGAAGUGGCGAACGGGUGAGUAACGCGUAAUCAACCUGCCCUUCAGAGGGGGACAACAGUUUGAAACGACUGCUCAUACCGCAUACUGAAGGUGGGGAUUGCGUCUGAUUAGCUAGUUGGAGGGGUAAGGGCCCACCAAGGCGAUGAUCAGAAGCCGGUCUUGGAGGAGGAACGGCCACAUUGGGACUGGGACACGGCCCAGACUCCCACGGGAGGCAGCAGUGGGGAAUCUUCCGCAAUGGACGAAAGUCUGACGGAGCAACGCCGCGGGAGUGAUGACAGCCUUCGGGUUGUAAAGCUCUGUUAAUCGGGACGCGGUACCGGAAUAGAAAGCCACGGCUAACUACGUGCCAGCAGCCGCGGUAAUUC